rnacentral:rRNA from 1 species
UACGUAGGGGGGCGAGCGUUGUCCGGAAUGAUUGGGCGUAAAGGGCGCGUAGGCGGCCCGUUAAGUCUGGAGUGAAAGUCCCGCUUUCAAGGUGGGAAUUGCUUUGGAUACUGAUGGGCUUGAGUGCAGGAGAGGAAAGCGGAAUUACCGGUGUAGCGGUGAAAUGCGUAGAGAUCGGUAGGAACACCAGUGGCGAAGGCGGCUUUCUGGACUGAAACUGACGCUGAGGCGCGAAAGCGUGGGGAGCAAACAGG